AAGUCGUAACAAGGUUUCCGUAGGUGAACCUGCGGAAGGAUCAUUACCAAGAAUUUUUUUGCUGGGGAUAGCACGUCUUGAAAUAUAGACUGCUGAACCGCAAGAUAUUCCCACCCUAUGUUUACUACAAGUGUUGCCUUUGGCGAUUCCGUUCUGUUGGAAACAACGACCGCUGGCAAGAGAUUGCGAGUGAGUGAUCGCCAAAGUUUUUCAUCAAACUCUUUUUAUAUAAAUGCAGUCUGAGAAACAAAACAAAAUAAAACAAAACUUUCAACAACGGAUCUCUUGGUUCUG
rnacentral:misc_RNA from 1 species